UAAUGUGAAUUGCAGAAUUCAGUGAAUCAUCGAAUCUUUGAACGCACCUUGCGCCCCUUGGAAUUCCGAGGGGCACACCCGUUUGAGUGUCGUGAACAUCCUCAACCUCCUUGGUUUUUUUUUUCUUGAACCAAGUAGGCUUGGAAUUUGGAGGUUUUCUGCUGGCCUCUUCCGAAGCCAGCUCCUCUUAAAUCUAUUAGUGGGAUCCGCUCUGCCAGAUCCUCGACGUUGAUAAGAUGCUUCUACGUCUUGGGUUUCGCUCGCGAAGGAUCUGCUUCUAACCGUCCCAUCGGGGACAAAUGUUCGAGCCGACCGCGCGCCCCCGUCAAGGGGUGGGUGGGAAAGCUUUUGACACAUGAAACCUUGACCCC
rnacentral:rRNA from 1 species